GCUCUGACCCAUAGACCAUGCCAUCUUGGAGGGGAGAGUGGCUGUUAUCAGAACUCUAAAAAUUCCAGGAAUCCAACACCACCCAGGGAACAGCUGCAAAGCCAGGAACACUGGACCCCAAGGAAAGCAAAUAUGGGACUUGGAGGAGCUCAGCACCUUCUCACGAAAAGGAGAGAGAUAACUACAUAACCAAACACCUGGAAAAAAGAGAUCAUGGGGAGA